rnacentral:misc_RNA from 1 species
ACAUCAUCUGAAGUGGUUUCUCAAGUAAGCAAACAUGAAAAAAAUUUCCUAUCAUAUUCUUACAAAGUUCUUGGCAGUUAAUAGUUUCUCCAUUGGUUAGCAGGAUUAAUAUUGGUUAUGGUUCUUGAGCUUCAUUAUUGUGGGAAUACUUGUUUAACAUAAAGGUGAACUAAUGAGACAACUAUAAGUAACAAGAAAGCCUUUGGAGAACUUGAUGAAACUGAAUUGUUAACAUUUACUCUUUUUUCUAACCUAAGUGGUCAUAAGUUCUGCAGAUUUGAAGAUGUUAAUGCUGAUCA